UCUAUUCUUAUGGUUUGUAUACUUUUAAACCAUCAAAUGGCGCUGAUUGAGCUUCAGGGUUCUAAAUCCUAACUUCAUGUUGUGGACACUUCCUUGGGUGCACAAGUUUUGGUCUUGUUCUUUCAAGAAGUAUUUGUGGCAUCGUUUGGUCUUGGAGCCUCUAUUUGAUGUUCUAUUUGUUUGUUCAAUUCAUAUAGGCAGAC
rnacentral:lncRNA from 1 species